rnacentral:rRNA from 1 species
UACGAAGGGGGCAAGCGUUGUUCGGAUUUACUGGGCGUAAAGCGUCCGCAGGUGGUUUAACAAGUCAGAAGUGAAAGCCCAGGGCUCAACCCUGGAAUUGCUUUUGAAACUGUUAGACUAGAGUAUUGGAGAGGUUAGCAGAAUUCUCAGUGUAGAGGUGAAAUUCGCAGAUAUUGAGAGGAAUACCAAUGGCGCAGGCAGCUAACUGGCCAAUAACUGACACUCAUGGACGAAAGCGUGGGGAUCAAACAGG